rnacentral:rRNA from 1 species
UGAACGCUGGCGGCGUGCUUAACACAUGCAAGUCGAACGGUAACAGGAACUAGCUUGCUAGUUUGCUGACGAGUGGCGCACGGGUGAGUAAUAUAUAGAUAAUGUGCCCCUUGGACCGGGAUAGCCAUUGGAAACGAUGAUUAAUACCGGAUACUCCUUCUUACCAAAAGGUAAGUCGGGAAAUGGAUUCCGCCAAGGGAUCGGUCUAUAUCCCAUCAGUUAGUUGGUAGUGUAAGAGACUACCAAGACGAUGACGGGUAGCGGGUUUGAGAGGAUGAUCCGCCACACUGGUACUGAGACACGGACCAGACUCCUACGGGAGGCAGCAGUGAGGAAUAUUGCACAAUGGGGGAAACCCUGAUGCAGCAACGCCGCGUGGAGGAUGACGCAUUUCGGUGUGUAAACUCCUUUUAUAUGUCAAGAAAAUGACGGUAGCAUAUGAAUAAGCACCGGCUAACUCCGUGCCAGCAGCCGCGGUAAUACGGAGGGUGCAAGCGUUAUUCGGAAUCACUGGGCGUAAAGGACGCGUAGGCGGGUUGGAAAGUCAGAUGUGAAAUCCUACAGCUUAACUGUAGAACUGCAUUUGAAACUUCCAAUCUAGAGUAUGGGAGGGGGAGAUGGAAUUAGUGGUGUAGGGGUAAAAUCCGUAGAUAUCACUAGGAAUACCGAAAGCGAAGGCGAUCUCCUGGAACAUAACUGACGCUAAGGCGUGAAAGCGUGGGGAGCAAACAGGAUUAGAUACCCUGGUAGUCCACGCCCUAAACGAUGUUCACUAGUCGUCGGGAUGCUAGUCAUCUCGGUGAUGCACUUAACAGAUUAAGUGAACCGCCUGGGGAGUACGGUCGCAAGAUUAAAACUCAAAGGAAUAGACGGGGACCCGCACAAGUGGUGGAGCAUGUGGUUUAAUUCGAAGAUACGCGAAGAACCUUACCUAGCCUUGACAUUGAGAGAACCUGCCAGAGAUGGCGGGGUGCCCUUCGGGGAGCUCGAAAACAGGUGCUGCACGGCUGUCGUCAGCUCGUGUCGUGAGAUGUUGGGUUAAGUC